CACACACACACUAUAGUUCAACUAAAUUGUUUAAUUAUCACAGUUAUAGAAAGCAAACAAGAUCAAAUUCAAGCUAAAAAACCUAGAGUUUCUAACGAAUAGAGAAAACAGAAGAAGAAGAAGAAGGAAAACAUACCGAUUAUGAAGUUUCCAAUUGCAACAGCAAUGAGAGCUUGAUUAGGAUGAAAAGUAGCAGCAUGAGGUUGUAAAGGUUUAAGACCACGAUCAACAUGUCGAAGAUCUAAAUGCUGUAAUGUAUUCCACUCCAUUGUUUUUCUCUUCGAUUUCUACUUGAAAAGAUCUCAAUUCAGAUCUGAAGAAACCAAUUCGAAACUAAAUCUAAACCCUAAUUCAGAUCGAUAGAUAGAUAGAUUGAUCGAUCGAUAGAUCGUGUGUUUUCAUUAAGAAAUCGAGAGAAAACAGAUGAGUUGUUAAAGUAAAGAUGUAGAGAAAAAAUCAUUUCUUCUUGAGGUAGAAGACGAAACUGGAUAAUUAAAGUUGAAAGACAUGGGCUUCGAUUUGGGCCUGUUUUAUGACAAAGACAUGGUGGGAAUUAAAGUAGGCUUGGGCCUGUUUUAUAAUAAGUUGAAAGACUGAUGGGUAAGGCUGUCUUUAUUAUAAAACCUAACAUCAAUGACAGCUGUUAUUUAACACCGUGUUUUUUUUUAAUCACCACGAAUUUCUAAUCACCACCAAAGAUGAAUAAAAUGUUCAAAACUUAAAACAUAAAAAACUAUAACUUGCACAAUAUUGUGUGAUCUUACUUGAGCAAUACACAAACAAACUCUUUGGAAUGGUACGUUCAAGAUGUUGUCGACUUGUCGUGCGAGUUUUUUCAAAUUUGUCUUGUUGUGCAAUUUUUUUCUUAUAAAAUAUUAAUAAUAUUGUAUAAUUUUUAACUUAAUUAACACAAAAUUUACUGAACAAUUACACUUAAAAUAUCAUACAAGUUCCUCUAUUUCAAAUUUAUCUCAUAAUUUUGUGCAAAUUAUCUUAUAAAAUACACGUAACAUGGUGAAUAAUUAUUAAGUUGGUGGAGUUUUUGGAUGUUUUGAUGAUGGUGAUUAAGAAAAAAAAUAUGGUGGCUGUUUUUUUAGAUCAGCUUAUCAGCCUAUCACUUUAACUGAACAAUUUCAUUUGCUCAAGCUAAACAAUCAACCUCCAGCAUUCUCUAUCCGUCGAUCCCACGUUAUAUUGUUUGAUGAUCAAGGUGAAUCCAUGGUGCACAAUGGACUACAACAGAACAUCUUAAUUAUCUAGUCCCUUCACUGAUCCCAUUGGGAAAAAAAAAAAAAAAAAGAAAGUCUUUUAAAAUUUAAAAUACUAAAAAUAGUCGUCAUAACAUCAGAAAAUUAAUAAAAGGCGGCUACAACCUUACUUCUCUGGUCAAAAUCAACUUUGUUUACUCUCUCUCUCUCUCUGCAACUUCCAUCUCUAUUUCCUCUUUCUUUCUCUGUUUCUCUGUUUUAUAAAACACACACAAACCCUUUCAUUCAAGUUACCAAAAGUUCUCAAAACAUGAUGAUGGAGGUUGUGUUACCAAUUCAUUCUUCUUCAGAUUUUAAUUUUGAUAGUGCUUGUUCUACACCAAUGAUAAGUGCACCAUCUAGUCCAAAACGUUUUGGUGAGUUUUACUUUAGUGCACCAAAUAGCCCAAAUCGUUUAUCUUCAUUUUAUAGAGAUUUUAAUAGUAGUAGAGGUAAUGGUUCUGUGAUUCCUUAUGAUUGGGAAGAAAAACCAGGUACACCCAAGUCAAAAAACAAUCAAGAAGAAGAUGGAGAAGAUGAUGAUGAGCAUGAGAAUGAUUUUGAGUUUGAGUUUGGUUUUAGUGGGCAAUUAGAUAGAACUUCUCUUAGUGCUGCUGAUGAACUCUUUGAUGGUGGUAAGAUUAGACCUUUGAAACCUCCACCUAGAUUACAACUUAGUAAUGAUUUUGGUUUUCAUAAAAGCUCUGUUUCUUCUCCAAAAUCCCCUAUUGCACAUGGAAAAAAAAUCAUUCGUGAAGUCUUUUCACCAAAAAAGAAGAAAGAUAUCAACCCUUUUGCUAUUGCAAUAGAAGAAUCACGUAAAGGUGUAGAACAACAACAACAACAACAACAACAAAGAGGUAGAGCUGUUUCAUCUUCAAAUCAUUCAAAUCGAAAAGGAACUCGAUCUUUGUCGCCAUUUCGAUCAUUUGGGAUUGAAGAACAACAACAAAGCACAAAACCCACUUCUUCAAAUUCAAAAUCUUCUUCAAGAAAAUGGAGUUUUAAAGACUUUUUAUUAUUUCGAAGUGCUUCAGAAGGUAGAGCAAGUGAUAAAGAUCCAUUAAGGAAAUUUUCUCUGGUUUCAAAGAGACAUGAAGAUGUGAAGAACUCAAGUUUCCGGUCUACUGAUAGUUCCGGUUCAAUAAGAAGAGGACCGGUUUCGGCUCAUGAAUUGCAUUAUAAAUCAAACCGGGCGGUUUCUGAAGAAAUGAAGAGAAAAACGUUUUUACCAUAUAAGCAAGGUUUAUUUGGAUGGUUUCAUGUUGGCCGUCCAAGAGUUAACUAAGGGAUUUGAUUUUUAACAGAUCAAUGGUCCAGAUUUCUUAUCUGGUUUUCUUCUUUUGUUUUUUGUUCAAUUUAUUUGUUCUUGUUAUCUUACAGCCAAAUGCUGUUUCAUGUAACUAUGUAAGUAUAUAUUUUGUUGCUAUUUCAAAAGUGAAAUUAUAGCAUCUUAUUCUUAGGAAAAUUUACAUAAAUAUAAGUUUUAAUUUAGUUUAAAUUUGAUGUUUUUGAAAUAUUUAGCUUGUUCAUGACUUGUAGUUGUAGGAGGCAAGAUUGCCAUCAAUCAUGCUAAUUGCUAAGGCCUAAAGAGUCAAUUGUUACUUGAUUAUAUUCAUGUAGGGACUGAGGCAUGCAUGAUGCUUCAUGCUUUGUAUGUUAUAACUUUAUUGAUCUCAUCUGAAGGUCAAGCUUAUGUACAAUGGUGAUGAAACAUAAAUGACCCACAUAAGAUGCUUUAGCUAGAAAGUAAAGAAGAAAGAGGGGCCAAGAUGUUAAGUGGUGUAUGUGCAGGAUGUGAAAACACUAUGUAAAAGGAAUAUGGUUAAUUAUGAUUCUUGGUAACUAUGUUGGUGAUACACAGUAAUGCAGUAUAACAAUUCAUGGUGAUGAGGAUACAGUAAUACAGUAUGUUGUGAUGAUGGUGUUGUAGUUGGGGGAUCACAAUGAAAGUUUACCUCCAACUUUUCAACCACAUUAACUUCAAAGUUCAAACACUUUAUUUUUCCAGGAUUCUUUAUUUGGAAAAUUCUUCUUGUUUAAUUUUUGGUUGGAAGCUACUAUUACUAAAUAAAUCAACAUCAACCAUCUUUAUUGAAUUACUUGUGCACACAUGCUAAAUGAUCACAAGGUCUUGAAAAUGCCUUCAAUUCAAUAGUCUUGCAAUUCUACAGAUGUGGUACUAAUUUACAAUCACCAUGAAAGUUCUUGGUAGUAGUAGUAGUUGGCUUUUAAUAUUUUGGCUUGUCAUUCUCCCUUGUGAACCAAUUUUUUAUUUUUAAAAGAAUUUUAUUAAUUGUUUAGACCAUGGUACAUUGGUACUGUACAUUAAAAUUCGAUACAAUAUAAGUAAAAAUUAUUUCAUGAGAAUGUUUCUAGAAACUCCCAAAAAGAGAUAUAAGAUAAUAACAAUUUAAUCUGGUAGGUGGACAUGUACGUAUGAAAAUUGAAAAGCAAUGUUGAUUUGAUGGUCGCACAACACAAGAGGACAGGAAAUUUAAAUUAUGAGUGUCUGCCAUCUUUCAAUCACAUGGUUCAGUCAUCAAGUCAAGAUUCUAAGGCCAUCCAAAGCUUCAAAGUCAACUAAAAUAAUAUGAAGAUUUGUAAGUUUAUCUGUCUAUGCCGUUAUGUAUGACCUAUCGAAAUCAAGAUUGGCAGGUAAAUCAUAAGGUCAUAAAGGAUAUCAAAGAACCUUAACCCACUUCAAUUAUUUGGGAUUUUUUACUUUUCAUAAUUUCAUGUGAGCAAGUUUUUAGUCUUGUAUAUGAAAAUUUUGCCAUAGUUCAAGUAUUCUAGAUCCAAAUAUCACACAUUGUCAUAGAUAAGACUUGCAGUACUUUGAAAAGGACUAGAUACUUACAGUAUAUGUCUCCAAUGCCACAAGCAAAUAAGCAAUUUCGCUUUCCAAAUGCAAAUUUCCAAAUCCAAAAAUAUUGACUAAGUCAGGGUUUAGUCUAUUAAUAUCAAGAUUCAAGACCAAAAGAGAAACCCCACAAAAUAUAUAAAUAAAAGCAUAAAAAGAAGAUUAGAAAAAGCUAAACAAAACAAAAAGGGGGGGAAAAGCAGAAAAAAGAGGUAAGAGAACUAGAGAGCGUCUGAGUUUGCCGACAUUUCCAUUCACAACAAUAAAAAAAAACAGACAUUUCUCAAUAAACAAAAUAUAUUGGUGGGAAAAUUUUGAUGGUAUAAUGUUAACGGGGAAUGGUAGGUGGGGAAAAUAAGAAAUGGAUUACUGCAAAUGUAGGUGGGAAAGUUGGGGUCAUUUUCCCCUAAGUACUGGUUCUACUUCAUAAUCCAUAUGGAGCUUUGGCAAUUAAAUAACAACAUAAUCAAACACAUUAUUUAAGGCCUGGAUUGUAUAUCAAACAAGUGGUUACAGUGUGCACCUGUGUGAGGCAUCCAACAGUAAUAAACGGAGGUAAUGAGCAAAAACAGUGCAAAAACUGAUCAUAAUUCCUUUUAAAACCAUAAUCUUGAUCUACAUACAGUUAUGCAUAAUAACCCAAACGGCAGGCACAACAGGAAUCAGACAAUAUGAAUAAAAAGUUGAUCAGAUAAGAAUACAGUUAUAUAGAUUGAACUAUUGAAUUGAACUCUAAAUCAGAUGUAAUGAAAACAUUCACUUCAAACAAUGGAGAAACUAUACAGAAACAGUCACAUCUGGAAGAUCAAAGUCAAAUCCACAAGUCUAUUUCUAAAAAAAAAAAAAAAAAAAAAAGGAAGAAGCAAAAUACAAAUAAUAUUUCUUAUUCAUGAAUGUCGAGUGUACACGUUUCUCCUCUGCAUAAAUAAAUAUUUCUCUUUUACAGAAAAUCCCUAAUUCAUCAUCCUAAUUUCAGAAAAAAUAAAUUAAAGAACCCAUCAUCCAAGAGACAAGUACAUUCAUUGGCCUAUUAAACAGAAGACAAUAAAAAACAAAAAACCUAUUAUCAAACCACAUUUCAAUGGAUUCUUUUUCACGGCAGAUGGCUUGAUUGGCUUCAAAUGAUGUAAUAUAGCAAAACACGAACAAACCUCAUUUGCAACUUAUCAAUGGUUUUAUGGUAUUUUAACAAGUCACUUGUCAAGUAAUGAUCAUUCUGAUACAGUUAAAACGAUACAUUUACGUAAGAAUGAAACAUCAAAACAUGGGUGACAUCAAAUUCAACCCGUUCAUAAUCCCUUGAAAAUUACCAAAUUGUUUGAAAUGAUAAAUUGUUAAGUGUAAUGGACUAGGAACGAGUAGAAUCAAGACUAUAAAGGUACACGUUAUAUGGAAGACAAAUGAAUUCAAAAUACAAUAAAACCUCUAUAUAGUGAUACUUUAUAAAGGAAUAACCUCUAUAUAGUCAUAAAAAAUUUCGGUCCCAACUUGGGCCAGUUAUAAAUAGGAAUAAUAUUCAUAUUGUUAUAAGUUAUAAUUUUUCUAGGUCCCAUCUUAAAGAAACUUACCUCCACAUAGUUAUAAUUAAGUAUAUACUAGCAAAAAAAAUUAUUACAUUUAGAGAAAAGCAUUAAAGAAAAUAUAAAAUAUUCAAUUUUUAAUAUGACUUUCAUUUUCUAACACUUCCCAACACUAAGUUAGUAUAUGCCCAUUAUAUUUUGAAGCUAUAAUAUUUUUUUGAAACUAUACAAUUUUUGAAAUUAUACGAUAAUUUUCGUAAGUAAAACUCUAUCAAGUUAUAACCUCCCUAUAGUAAUACUUUUUCUUGGUCCCAAGAGUAUGACUAUAGAGAGGUUUUACUGUAUACAAGCAAGCAAUCAAUCAUGCAUAGUCAUAUGGAAGGAAAAUGAAUUCAAAAUAUACAUAAGACUGAAAAUAACAUGCAACAUGCCAAUGCAGUACAACAGUUAACCAAAGAGGUGGAAAACAGGGUAUUUCACCAGUCACAUCAGUGGAGCAUUUAUCCCAUAGCACAAUGAAUUAUGGAAAUUACCAAAUACUCUUGACAUGUAUGGGUGAAAAAAAACUUCUUAUGACCAUGGGGUUGUUCAAACAAGGUGGGUGAUAUAUCUUAUACCGCCCCUUGGACAGACCAACGUAUUUUGUGACCUUGCUGAAUGUUGAAUUAUGUGUGUUAUUACCCAUAAUAGUUUGGUCGAGCUACAGAAAGAUGACCCUGUUACGAUGGCAGUAAUUAGAUACCAAUUUAUUAUCAAUGUUGGUCAUACAAGGCUACAAGCCUACAAGCUAGGCCAUGGAAAUGAUCAAUAAAUGAUUCGGAAGCAUGUGUGCACAAAAUUACAAGCUAUUAGAUCCUACUUCAGUUAAAAUAUUAUUUCUUGAAGACAUUGCUAAAAUAUUUGCAUGCAGAGCAUCUAUCAAGUUUACAAAACAAAGGAAUCAAACAUUCUGAUAGAAUUUUAGAAGAAUGAUCUGCAAAGUGCAAAUAAUUCCUUCAAAUGAUACAUAACCUACAAUCCUGGGUUUAGGAAGGAUAUUAGUCCUGGAAUGCACAUAGAACAGGUAUACAAUAUUAAAAAAGAACCCAAACAUGGAGUGUGUGAGAAACAUAAGAGUUUGGGAGAAUAAAAAAGUGAUUUGAUAUAAAGGAAAUAUGCAACUAAGGAGAAUGCAGUAAUACCUCUAGUUUUAAUGCAGAAACUGACACUAAAAUCGUUCAAUUCCUAGCAUUCAAUAAGAAUUGUAGAGACCAAGCAUUGGUUUCUCUCUCUCUUCCAUUCUCUUCUUUGCUGCUUCCCUUGCUUUAAGCGCAGCUUCUUCUUCUUUGGACACAACCUUUGGUCUCCCAUCUUGUCUCUUUCUCUUGUUGACAGCAACUGAUGAAGUGGCGCCCUUAACUGAACGCAUCGGAUUCACUGAGCCAGGAACAACCAAACCUGGUGGGGUCCCUUUUUGGUAUUUGGUUGCACCUGUAUUUUCUGCAGAAGUUCCAGAGUCUGAAGCAGCCAAUGUAUUCUUCGAAACUGAAUCUCCUUUUGGGGGCACCCACGCAGGAAAUGCUUCCUCCUGUGCUACCCACUUACCUGGUUCACCAUGCAAUAUAAAAUAAAAACCAACAACCAAAUGAAGCACAUAGAUAACAGUAAGCAUUCUAUCUUUCUACAAAAAAAAAAUUUAUUACCUAAAGCAUCAGAGUAGUAUAAGCCUGAGUUACAAUCAUAGUAAUAGCUGCUAGCCUGGUUGAAAAAAUAACCUGAAGCGCUAUCAAAAUCCCAUUCUGCAAUCAUCAGAAGCUGUUUCAGUUUUAGUAAGCAUUAGCAAACACAAGUAUCCAAUGAAAACUAUGUCUUAUAUCAUAACUUAACAUCAAAACUUCAAGAAGUCCAAACAGAUUCCCUACGCUAUUUGGUAAGCAACAAUGCCUUCUCGACCUAAUAUUAGAUGAGACUCAUGGAUAGCCUAAACAAAAAACGACAAUCCACCAGGAAUAUUGUGUCAACUGAUAAACAUCCAUAAGGUAGAUAAUUAUUACAACAUCUUGUUUAUAAUCCUGCGGACAUAUUUACCACCAAAAAGAAGAAGGAUUACUUGGAUGGAAACAGUUACUUGUGUAUAAAACUUCUAAAAAUAAGCCGCCAUAAUGGCAAAUCCUUGGUCCUUCUUCUCUACCCUGAAGCAGUGUCAAAUCAUAGGCAUAGCUAAAUUGGAAAUUACUGAAGUAGAACUCUUACCAUCUCUUGAAGCCUUAAAUGGUUUCGCCCCUCCAGAAUUCUCCUGACAAGUUUUGACUGCAUUGGAGCUUGACUCCCUAGCCUGCUGAAUAGCUGCUAAAUCUUUUUGAUAGCUGCGUUUGGCUUUCUGACAAACAAUUUUAAGAGGACAUCAAAAUCAUCGAAAUUACAAAACAAACAAAAGGCAUAUGGUUAGUAGUGCGCAUCUCUCUAAGAUGUGCAAUAAUAAUAUAAUGAUUUGAAAAAGGAGGAAAGAGAGAAGGAAGAGAAAAAAAAGGGAGGGGGGUGGGGGGGGGGGGGGCUUAAUAAGGAAGAAAUCCAAAUUGUAAAGAAAGUCGAAAUAAUAAAAGGAUGAAGCAAAGAAAGUCAAAUUCUUGAGCCAAAUCGGACACUUUUUUUACCCAAUAAAAUGCUUUUAACUUAGUACUUAACCUUCAUGAUGCAAGCAUAAAAUAUUUUUGGAGAAAGAUUUUGAUUUUUCGAGAAAUGUACUCUACAAUUCAAACCUUUUCAAACACCCCCCCCACCCCCCAAACACACACCCACACACCCACCCUCAGGCCUCAACACCACCCCAACUCUCUCCCUCCUCCACAAAGAAAGAGAAAAGAAAAGAGCACUUAAGAUAAUCAGAAAGUACUAUAAUUAUAUAGCUGUAGAAAAAAAGGUACCCGUAUAAUUUCAGAAAUACAGUUCGUGCCAAAAGCUGACGCGGCUCACUAGGACAUGAUGGUAAGCGGCAUAUACACUAAAACACACACGCACACACACAAACACAGAUAGACUAGUUUCAAUAAGUUAAACACAACUUACAGCUUCAAUUUGUUCUAUGGCACGAGCAGUUUGCUUUUCUUCCUUCUCCUUAGCUACAUUGUCCUUUCUCAUAGAAGCAAGCCUCUUGGUAACACUAUCCUUGUGACGCUGUCCACGCUCAUGAGUACCAAUACUCAAAGGAUUGUUGGAGAUGUAGAUCUUACAAAAGUCACACCAUUUAUUUCCCUGGCUAACCCAGUACUGCAGACAUCCAAAUAAAACAAUUCAGAAAUCUAAUUGCAAUAGAAGAAAGCAACCCAUUGUAUACACAAAGGAAAAAAACAAGGGAGAAAUAAAGUGUAAAAGUGAACUCAAUCGAACUAACAAGAUCAAAUCAAGCUAUGUGCCUAUGUCCAUACUCCAAAUUUCAUCACUAUUGUUUGUUCUAGUCUCAAGUUGGUUCAAUGAAGCAACAAGAGAAAGUGAGAGACAAACCUAAAACAAACAAAAAACUGCCUUUGUAAAUACAGAUUAUAGUUUCCUUGCACCUUUCUGAUAUACACUUCACUUGGUACUAAGCUAGAGAUUGCAGAAUAAAUCAUAAGCAUUAUAAUAAUGACACUUGAGGGGUUUGAGCAUGGUAAUUACUCAUUUCUUGGUAUAAACCAAACUCCACAAUCAUAACAUUUGUUUCGUAGCAGCAAGGUUUUGUUAAAAUUUGCAUCAGUUUUGCUAUGAAAAUUAGUCAUAUAGAAAACACUAUUCAUUUUCAGUUUAACUAGCCAUAUUUAAACUAAAUAGUUGAGCACUAAAAUGUCUUUCUUUCUUUCUAUUUGAUAAACAUUAGGAAUCAAUAUCAUUUCUUUCGUCAUUGGUACUUGGAUCAAAGUUGAUAAUAAUAUUUUAUAGCUAGGUUGCCUUUACUCAAAGAUCAGUAUUUCUACUAUUUUAAACCCUAAAUCAUUCAUUAUCCAAAUUAAAAUUCCCAGUUUAAUGUUCAUCAUAGGUUUUCUGUGAACCAAUUUAAGUACUAGUAAUGAUUAAAAUUUGAUAAAUUUAAACUUAAGGAAAAGAAAUAAAAUCGAAUUGAAUCAGAAAAACCCAAAAACAACAAAAAGAAGGAUAGAAAUCGGUCUAAUACCUCAGUCAUGAUUGCGAAUUGUUUAGAUUCUCAACGAUGGAAAUUUGAAUAAAUAACCUUAAUUUGAACAAAUUUUCGCAAAUUUCAAACGAUUAAACCCUAGAUGUAAGAAGGUUUUCUUGAUCUAAAGCGCCAAUUGAAGCUUCGUCGUGUUCUUUUAUCUUUCUCUUUCUGCAAGUUGAAAUUCUAAACUCGAUAAAUAAAAAAAGAAAUUGCAACUUAUCAGAUCAGAAGGCCCACGUCCGACUCAAAGCCCAGUACAACCCAUGUCCAACUUGAAGCCCACUAUAAUGAGCCUGGUCCAUCGGUUCAAAUUUUAGAUCAGUCAGAUUCAAAUCAGGCCGUACUCUCUCUACUCACUAGGGUUAUUUUGAAGUUGCAUUCUAAUGUCUGGAAUAAAGCUAUGUACAAGCUUGUUGCAAAGAAUAGUGUCUUGAUCUUUAACAGGUAUGUGUGCGAUCGCAAGUUCAUAGCCACAACCCUUUUCUAUACAGCACAUAUGGCAAUACUGUAAUAGACACACAAUUUUAUACUCUUUAAGAGUUGCAGUGGCAGCUGUGCAGUGACAAUAGUCACAACCUUAAACAUACUUCCAAUGCAACAGACUUAGCAAUAAGUAGACUCAACUGGCAAUGCAACACACUUUGCAAUAAGUAGCAGGCAAAGAAGCUAGAUAUCUAAUCUGCAAAUAGCAGGCAAACUGUACUGGUUUACUAAGUCAAAAUCAUUAUGUUCAAUUGAAAUACUCAAUCCAAGCUAACAAAUUAAAGAAAACAGAUAGGGUUCAGAUAGCAUUGUGAAGUUCAUAGCAUUGGAAAAAAAUAACAUCUCUCCAAGAUCAAAACCACUCUUCACUUCAUCUUUGCUUCUGUAAACAGAACAUGACGAUUCACCCUAGGGUCAAACUUACGAAACUCAAGCUUUUCUGUCAUCUUUCGUGGGUUCUUACGCUUAACAUAGAAAAAUCCAGUUCCUGCAGCGGAGACGAGCCUGAUGAAUAUUGAACCACCCUUUGCCUUUCCCAUCAAAUAAACAGUAAAACUGGGCAAAUCUGCACAAUCAAUUAUUUCGUUACAGAAAAUUGGGAAAUUAUUGCAGCAAUAAAAAACAUUAGAGAACUCAUUCAUAGUAUCGAAGUCAUAAGCAGACAUGGGCCCUACAACUGAUUGUUACUAUGAAAACAGGAAAUGCAAUACUUAUAGACAUGUUUUGGAUAGUUAACAGCUAAACAGUAUGCAAAUGUACAUCAUGAUUUCAACAAAGGUUGUGCUUACUAUAUGGUUCAAUGUGGUCUCAUUGUAUCAAACACCCAAACUGCAGUUAUAAGACUUGACCACCAAAUGGUAUGCUAACCUAAUAGACUCUGGUACUCGAAAGGCUGUGCACAUACAAGGACUUGUUCAUGCAGAACAUAUUAAAGAGAAAAAAAGCUAAAACCAUAGAUUACCACAAUGACAAAAAAUUUAAGGGUCAAAGCCCUACACUCUGAUUUUAUACACAAGUGUUAGAUUAUUCAAACUAUUAUGUAAAAUCAUCGGGUCAAGAAAAAACAGAAUCAUACAAAUUCCGUAAAAUUUAUCUAAAAAAAAAAAGGAAAUGAAACAUAAACCCCACCAAUUUAUUCUAACACAACAGUAGCUCCUAAUUCUUUAAGCUUCUCCAUAAUAGGAUUUGCUUCCUCCUUCGUAACACCUUUUUUCAGCACAAUGGGCACUUUCUCCACCAAAUCCUUAGCCUCCUUCAAUCCCAAAUCAGUGAAAGUCCUUACUUCCUUAAUGAUCUUAAUUUUCGAUGCGGCAUCGAACUUCUCCAACUUUAUAUCAAAAGCUGUCUUCUCCGCCUUCGCUUCCUGUGUCGCAGAUCCGCCUCCUUCUGCUGCAGAUCCUGAUACAUUUAAUCCAGAGUUUGUCGCUCCAUACUUGUUCAAACCUAAUUUGAGAGCAUAGAGGACAUUAUAGUCGCGCCUUUCGAGCUUAUUGAGAUCAAGAAGCUCAUCUGCAAUCCUCUCAAGCUUUUGUGUUUGACGCUCUGCUGCUGUGGCAGUGGCAGUGCAAAGAGAACGUUGGAGGGUUUUGUUACUGAAUAUGAAAAGUUGCCUCACGAGGUAUGGAUUAGGGAUUUUGGUGGUCAUAGAGGACACCUGUUUUCAGCAACAAAUGAAAAAUCAAAUUUUGAUCUUUACCAAAAAAAGAUUAUAUAGUAUUCCACAAGAAGGUGGGGGACUGACCAUAGGCUUGAAACUGUGAACACAAUAUUAAUAUAGAAUUAUUGAAAGAAAUAAUGCAACAGUGCACAGAGCCACAGAGUUAUAAGGUGUUUGGGAUGUGUGGAAAUAAUUAUUAAAAACAAAAAUGAAUUGAGAUUUAAAACAGCUUUAAAUACAUUCUAAAGUCAAACCAGAAAGUCCAAAAAAUGACAAAGAGGGUCUCCAUAAUCAAUUCUUCUCCAACAUGAGAGGGAGGGCACAAAAAAUAUGGUAAUAAUUUCAGAGACCGCAGACAGACUCAGAGAAAAGAAUUUAGAUGGUCGGUAGGACUGGCAAGAAGUUGGAGAUUAUCAUUCAUCAGCAGGGGAUUAUGUUACUUUAAUCACGUCAUAACUCCAAAUAGCGUAUAACGAAUAGCAAGGCAGGCUAUGUUUUUCUCGGGCGGGCAGGCGGGUGGGUUCGCAUUAAUUAUACACGUAGCAGUGGUUGAAACCAUCAAGUAAAAGCAAAGGAUAGAUGAGAUGUGACUUGGACCGGAACAUUUACUUGGUCUCCAACAGGAUUGGACGCCAAGUUUCAGCAUGUACACAAGCAGAAGCAAACGUUGCUAAAAGUAUCCGCAACUCAAUUGGCUUCACGAGAAACCAAAUGAUACUGAUUUCAUGACAGGAGUAUAUAAUCACUAAGAUCUUCUAAUAAAACUGAAAGUCGGUGUACCACAAAGAUGUUCAGUACCUAUACCAUGAUAUAUAAUCCGCAAAAAUCCUGAAAGAGACCUCAAAGAUAUUCCUCAUAUACCAACAACAUAACUAUGUUUCCCAUUGGUCCCUGAAAAAGUCUACCACCUCAAACCAACUUGACAUUUUUUGCAUCCAUUCUGACUUCAUCUCUUCCUUCUUGGCACCAAAUGAGCACACUCAAUCUUCACAAACAAUCCAAGAAGCCUACAACCUUUUUGUCUUAUUUGUGUAAACCAAAAGGAAAUAAUUUGGACAGAGUUCACUCACUUCAUAGUGAACCAAUUUCACAUCCUACCCGAAUGAAAUCCUAUUGGAUUUUAAAUUAGAUCGUUCAACAAAGUUGGAGCUAAAUGAGAGAGAUUCAUUGUCAAUGUAUCUUUCUGAAUCAUCCAUUCAAAGAGAAUCCAUCCGUAUUGUGUUCAAUUCCUCUAACCCUCAUUCAACACACGAGAAGAUCACACAGACGAGAACAAAAGUUGGGGAGCCAGUCCAAGAACAUAAUUUCUUUUCCAUCAAGCUUUAAUAAUAAUUUAUAGUCAAACCAAUAUAAAUAUGGUUCCAAACUUCCAACAUGGUUUGUACUAAAACUUCACAUCUGAUAAUAUGCGUAAUGCGAGGAAAGACCCCAAAUGACAUUAUUUAGAUCGAGAUAAAACAAUAUCUAAAAUCCCAAUCAUUAAUUUAUCCUAACAUAUAAUCAAAAUGCAAAAACCCCCCACUUAAACAAAUCACUCACCUCAUUAUGAAAACCUAACAUUUACAUUUUCAGUAUUUCUAGCUUACAUCAUUUCAUUCAAAUAGCAAAUAAAACAUCAAAACAAACACCAAUAAACAAAAAAAAAAGUGGGUAGAGAGAAAAAUUACCUCUUUAACGCCUGAGAAGUUUCUGUGAGCAAAAGAGCUGCUUGAUAGAGAGAGAAACCGAGAGAGAGAGAGAGAGAGAGGUUUUAGCAAUGGAAGAAGAGAGAGAUGCAAAAGGUUUUUGAGUCUUGCAAAAGGCCCAUUUACUCAUGGGCUCAAAGCUUAUUAGGCCCAAAUGACCGAUUCAUCCAACUCACUCACUGACACUGUUGACUCACUGUAAACCGUACUUCUUCAAAAGGUUCUCAGAGAAAAUCUAUACUUCAAUCUGUUUCUUCAAUGGAAGCAAACUGAUCAACAAAAGCAAGAGAGAGAGAGAGAGAGAGAAAGAGAGAGAGAGAGAGAGAGAGAGAGAGAGAGAGAGAGAAAUGGAUCCAUCGUUUCUUCUAAUGCUUUCCAAUCUUCUUCAUCUUCACAAUCAUUUAGACCCAACAACAUCACUACUUUCUGAUUCCCAAUCAUUCACUUCUUCUACUUCUCCUUCUUCCACACUCUCUUCUUCUUCCGCUGCUCCUCUUCUUUUCUUCACAAUCGCUUCAGUUCUUUCUUAUGCUGCUACCCUUCGUUCAUCUUCUUCUUCUUCAACCUCUAAUUCAUCUUCUCCUCCUUCUACCACCACCACUACUAACAACCCUACUUCAUCUGACCUAAGUGUUUCCGCUUUUCGUGCACUUUCAACUGAACACAUUUGGACUAUGGAACCUCCAAUUCGUGAUGCUCAAUGGAGAUCUUCAUAUGGAUUAUCAUAUCCAGUAUUUGCUAGUCUUGUUGAUCAAUUAAAACCCCAUAUUCUUCAAUCUAAUCUUACUUUACCACCUGAUUACGCAAUUGCAAUGGUUCUUUCGCGUUUAGCUCAUGGUUAUUCUGCUAAAACCCUAGCUACUAAAUACUCUAUUCAACCUUAUUUAGUAUCAAAGAUUACUAAUAUGGUUACUCGUCUUCUUGCUACAAAACUUUAUCCUGAAUUUGUUAAAAUUCCAGUUGGGCAUAGACUUUUACAGAUUAUUCAUGCUUUUAAAGAGCUUACGUCGUUGCCGAAUAUGUGUGGUGCUAUUGAUAGUAGUCCUAUUAAGCUUAAUAAGCUUCCAGAUGAUCAAGCUUAUAACCCUUUGACGUAUCGAUGUAGACAGGGUUGUUCUGCUGUUCUUCUUCAAGUUGUAGCUGAUCAUCGGAAGAUAUUUUGGGAUGUUUGUGUUAAAGCUCCUGGUGGUACUGAUGAUGCUACUCAUUUUAGGGAUAGUUUGUUGUAUAACAGGCUUACGUCUGCAGAGAUUCUUAGGGAUUCUGUGAUUACUGUUCGAGGUCAUCAUGUUCGCCCGUAUAUUGUAGGAGAUUGGUGUUAUCCUUUAAUGUCAUUUCUACUUACACCAUUCUCGUCGAAUGGCACUGGAACACCUGCUCAGAACUCGUUUGAUGCAGCAUUGAUGAAGGGGAGGUCUAUGGUGGAACAAGCUAUUGGAUUGCUGAAGGGAAGAUGGAGAAUUUUGGAAGAUUUGAAUGUUGGGAUUAAUCAUGUACCUCAGACAAUUGUUGCUUGUUGUGUGUUGCAUAAUAUAUGUCAGAUAGCGGGUGAACCAGAGCCUACAUUGUUCAAGGACCCAAGAGAGAUGGGGCCUCCAGCAAGGGUGCUUGAGAAUGAGAAGUCAUUCUAUUAUUUUGGUGAGAGUUUGAGGCAGGCCAUGGCUGAUGAUCUACAGGACCGGCAACAACGGACGAGGUAAAAGAAGAAUUUUCUACUGUACUUUUGUAGUGACAUUGUAUUACAUAAGAGGAUAUAUUUCAACCACCAUUAGAUUGUUAGUGUGUUUCUUUUUUCGAUCACUUGAGCAAACUAACAUUGAUACAAGAACUUCAAACUUGAUUAACUGGCAGUGGCUAUUGUCUAUCCAUUUUCAUGUAGGGGGCCUUUCACAAAUUAAUAUGUCAAUGUAAUUGUAUGAUAUUCUGCCUCUUUUAUCAAGAGUGUUCAUUGCCUUUACUACAAUGGCAUCCUUUUCAAUCAUAAAAACUUUCUUACAAGAGUCCUGUACAGAAUUGAUUUGGUCGAAAAUCAGUAUAUUAUUGAAAGUGAGUAUCACAUCUGCUACAAGAGCAAUGAGCCCAUGAGUGCCUUGUUAUACUAUGAUCUCCCUUUAAAGGGAUCCUCCAC
rnacentral:lncRNA from 1 species